AAAUUGAAGAGUUUGAUCAUGGCUCAGAUUGAACGCUGGCGGCAGGCCUAACACAUGCAAGUCGAACGGUAGCACAGAGAGCUUGCUCUUGGGUGACGAGUGGCGGACGGGUGAGUAAUGUCUGGGAAACUGCCCGAUGGAGGGGGAUAACUACUGGAAACGGUAGCUAAUACCGCAUAACGUCGCAAGACCAAAGAGGGGGACCUU
rnacentral:rRNA from 1 species